CUUAUUCCUUACUGUCCUUCCCCUGCCCCCAUUCUGUUCUGGCUUACUCUCAUUGUCCAUGCUAACACCAUUUUCUCCACAUUUACACAGAAAAGUACUUAAGUUCAGGGCUAAGCCUGACUGCGUGGAAAAGGGGUUGUUACUCUGUGUGACUCCUGGCUGGGCUUGUUUUGUGUUCAUAAAACCCACUUGAGUAAACAAGUUCUAGUGUGUUUGAGUUCCAAUUGCUUGCAUUACUUUACAGUCACGCCUGACUCAGAUUGCAAGAUAGCUGGUGUGACCAGAGGCACGGAAACCCUGGCAUCUCAGCAUCACUCAGGAACUUGAUGGUUCCGAGAGACUGAAGGUGAGUGGGGUCAGAUCUUGUUAGGGAUGUCAACCCCCACCAAGCCUGCACACUUCCUCAGGAUCUGGGUUCACAAACUGCUAAGGCAGGGCUGAAACAUUUCAGCCCCAGGCAGCCGGAGUACCUGCUGUUUGGUGCCUGGUUUUAUAGCAUCCUCUCCCUGUGGCUCAUCCUGAACUCGUUUGGAAAAUGACCUACAAGGAAAAUAGUAUCUUUAUUGAACAUUCUGAUAAUAACUUCAACAGAUACACACACUGAAUUACCCUGAAAUAUUUUGGGUCAUCCAACCCAAAGAGUUCCCGUUAGCAGCUCAGAUGCUCCACUAUGAAGUUGUUCUGCCUUCAAGUUUAUUGGGGAGUACCAGGAUUGCACAGGUACAAGAUCUGGUAAAUGGCAACACCACCUCAUACACAGAUACUGGAACCCAGAAGGGAAAAGUGCCUCGCUCUUGACUCAAACGUUAUAAUAUGCUGGCUUUGGAGUCCCAGCCACCUGAAGACUUCACAUGACCUUAGAGGGCCAGGACAGUACAUGCAAGGGGCAUCCAAGCCAGCGGGAACAGAAGAAAGGCUUCUUACAGGAUGUAUCUUCUAAGGGGACAUCCAGGAAGUUGAGGGAAAAAAGAUGAAAUAGUGUCUAAGACCAAGGGGGAAAGAACAGGCAAAUGACCAGAGGCAAGAGAAACACAGAUUCACAAAUGACAGGAAGAAAUUUGGCAUGGGUGGAGCAUGUGUGUGUAUGCACAUGUGUGUACAUGUGUUGAAGGGUGCUGGGUGGUGACUGGAGAAGUAGGUAAGGGUCAGGUGACCCAAGGCUAAUUUAAGACAUUUAUUUAUCCCUGUUUGCAAAGAAUUGAAGGGCUUUACCUUGGUCGGUCACGGAUCUUGGAAAGAUUAUAAAGGCUGCUUUGUGAAGAAAGAUAGCAGAGGAGGAUCAGGCAGGAUAUCACCGGUGGAGGCCUUACUGUUCUUCCUGGGAUCGUGUCUCAGAGGUGACCAGGAAUGAAGCCAGCAGACAACAGUAUGAGCAACCGUCAAGGAUCUUAAUGAAGAGUGUAAAGGAAGGAAAAGAAUCUUGCUAAUCAGGAGGGGCUCCAAAACUUGUCACAGGACUUGGAUUCAAAGAAUCUUGGAAUUACAGUGUGACUGUGUGUCCUCGAAGAGGAGGGUGGGUCUGGUGAGCAGCCUGCAGAUUCUGCCACGAAGGCACACAUGCAAGAAGCAGAAUGCUGAACCAGAGGGUGGAUUCACUUCCAUUGUGUUUCCUUUCAUUAAUCCAGAGUGUUCUCGGUUUCUUCCUUCCGCUUAAAUAACUGCAACUCUUAAGGAAAGUGAACAGAGAGCCUCAGGUGUGUGUAAGUCGGGCCUCAUCCUCUGGUUGGUCUUUGUCACAUCCCAUGGAGAAUGUGGAGAAUGACAGUGGGAUGCCGACAUGAACAGCAGAGUGAGGCCGACAGUCUACUUUCAGCUUAACCCACGUGCAUGUCGCCCUAAGGCCUUGGUUUCCUUGUCUUGCCACUUGCUGGGCUGGUCCAGGCAAAAUCGCUCUGUGAUUUCCAGUGGGAUGAGUGGAUCUUCAAAAUCUCUGGAAAAAAAUCUGUACAGUAUAAGGAGUAGAAGCGCAAGAGAGAUAAUUAGGGGCACGUGAUGAAAGAUAAAGACCCUUUACCACUCUGUGGGGAAAGGAGGUUUCAAAGUAGGCUUUAUUGGUUAUCAGUUGAACUCUGCAGCCUAAAUUCAUUGUUUCCGAUCAUUCUUCUCAUCUGCAUUAAAUGCUUAUGUAGAAAAGAGAAAGGUGGAGAGUGGCCGAGAGCUCUAUCUCCAUCUUUACUAAGAACAGAUCAGGGAGACUGACUCCCAGAAAUGCUGGGACUCUAACAUGUUCCUGAAGAAACCAUGGCCCAGUGACUGAAACAAUCUAGUCCAAACUGAGACACCCAGUCAGGUAGGCCACUGACCAUUCCUGUGCUUUGACCCCUCCUCCAUCUUGGCAACACCACAUGGGAGAAGAUGCUGGCCUCACAGUUACAAAGAGGAGUCCUUCACGGCUCAGGGUUGUGUAAAAGAGAUCUGGGAGCGGCCUGCAGGUUGCAUUUCCACCCAGGACCCAGGUUUUAGAAGGGCCUGUGACAAGCACAGAUAAGCAAGUCACCGCCAUGCAAGUGAAAGGACAUUGUGAUAAAGGGUUGGCUCACCAAUUAUUCAAAGGAGAAAAUGCUACUAAGAAAAAAAAGCACAGCU